rnacentral:rRNA from 1 species
UACGUAGGUGGCAAGCGUUGUCCGGAUUUACUGGGCGUAAAGAGCGCGCAGGCGGUCGUUCAAGUCGCGUGUGAAAGCCCCCGGCUCAACUGGGGAGGGUCACGCGAUACUGAUCGACUCGAAGGCAGGAGAGGGAAGUGGAAUUCCCGGUGUAGUGGUGAAAUGCGUAGAUAUCUGGAGGAACACCGGUGGCGAAGGCGGCAUCCUGGACCAACACUGACGCUGAGGAGCGAAAGCCAGGGGAGCAAACGGG